GACGAACGCUGGCGGCGUGCUUAACACAUGCAAGUCGAACGGAAAGGCCCUGCUUUUGUGGGGUGCUCGAGUGGCGAACGGGUGAGUAACACGUGAGUAACCUGCCCUUGACUUUGGGAUAACUUCAGGAAACUGGGGCUAAUACCGGAUAGUAGCUCCUGCUGCAUGGUGGGGGUUGGAAAGUUUCGGCGGUUGGGGAUGGACUCGCGGCUUAUCAGCCUGUUGGUGGGGUAGUGGCUUACCAAGGCUUUGACGGGUAGCCGGCCUGGGAGGGUGACCGGCCACAAUGGGACUGAGAUACGGACCAGACUCGUACGGGAGGCAGCAGUGGGGAAUAUUGCACAAUGGGCGGAAGCGUGAUGCAGAAACGCCGCGUGCGGGAUGACGGCCUUCGGGUUGUAAACCGCUUUCGCCUGUGACGAAGCGUGAGUGACGGUAAUGGGUAAAGAAGCACCGGCUAACUACGUG
rnacentral:rRNA from 1 species